GUGCCAGCAGCCGCGGUAAUACGUAGGGGGCGAGCGUUGUCCGGAAUUACUGGGCGUAAAGGGUGCGUAGGCGGCUGUCUAAGUCAGAUGUGAAAUACCAGGGCUUAACCCUGGGGGUGCAUAUGAAACUGGGCAGCUUGAGUGCAGGAGAGGAAAGUGGAAUUCCUAGUGUAGCGGUGAAAUGCGUAGAGAUUAGGAGGAACACCAGUGGCGAAGGCGGCUUUCUGGACUGUAACUGACGCUGAGGCACGAAAGCGUGGGGAGCAAACAGGAUUAGAUACCCUGGUAGUCCACGCUGUAAACGAUGGAUACUAGGUGUAGGAGGUAUCGACCCCUCCUGUGCCGGAGUUAACGCAAUAAGUAUCCCGCCUGGGGAGUACGGCCGCAAGGUUGAAACUCAAAUGAAUUGACGG
rnacentral:rRNA from 1 species